AGAGUUUGAUCAUGGCUCAGAAUGAACGCUGGCGGCGUGCUUAACACAUGCAAGUCGAACGGUAACAGGAAGUAGCUUGCUACUUUGCUGACGAGUGGCGCACGGGUGAGUAAUAUAUAGGUAAUGUGCCCCUUGGACCGGGAUAGCCACUGGAAACGGUGAUUAAUACUGGAUACUCCUUUUUUUCAUAAGAAGAAUCGGGAAAUGGAUUCCGCCAAGGGAUCGGCCUAUAUCCUAUCAGCUAGUUGGUGAGGUAAGAGCUCACCAAGGCGAUGACGGGUAGCGGGUUUGAGAGGAUGAUCCGCCACACUGGUACUGAGACACGGACCAGACUCCUACGGGAGGCAGCAGUGAGGAAUAUUGCACAAUGGGGGAAACCCUGAUGCAGCAACGCCGCGUGGAGGAUGACGCAUUUCGGUGUGUAAACUCCUUUUAUAUGUCAAGAAAAUGACGGUAGCAUAUGAAUAAGCACCGGCUAACUCCGUGCCAGCAGCCGCGGUAAUACGGAGGGUGCAAGCGUUAUUCGGAAUCACUGGGCGUAAAGGACGCGUAGGCGGGUUUGUAAGUCAGAUGUGAAAUCCUACAGCUUAACUGUAGAACUGCAUUUGAAACUACUAACCUAGAGUAUGGGAGGGGCAGAUGGAAUUAGUGGUGUAGGGGUAAAAUCCGUAGAUAUCACUAGGAAUACCGAAAGCGAAGGCGAUCUGCUGGAACAUUACUGACGCUAAGGCGUGAAAGCGUGGGGAGCAAACAGGAUUAGA
rnacentral:rRNA from 1 species